CGGGUGAGUAAUGUCUGGGAAACUGCCUGAUGGAGGGGGAUAACUACUGGAAACGGUAGCUAAUACCGCAUAACCUCGCAAGAGCAAAGAGGGGGACCUUCGGGCCUCUCGCCAUCAGAUGUGCCCAGAUGGGAUUAGCUAGUAGGUGAGGUAAUGGCUCACCUAGGCGACGAUCCCUAGCUGGUCUGAGAGGAUGACCAGCCACACUGGAACUGAGACACGGUCCAGACUCCUACGGGAGGCAGCAGUGGGGAAUAUUGCACAAUGGGCGCAAGCCUGAUGCAGCCAUGCCGCGUGUGUGAAGAAGGCCUUCGGGUUGUAAAGCACUUUCAGCGGGGAGGAAGGCAGUAAGGUUAAUAACCUUAUUGAUUGACGUUACCCGCAGAAGAAGCACCGGCUAACUCCGUGCCAGCAGCCGCGGGUAAUACGA
rnacentral:rRNA from 1 species